GGCAGGUUGAACCUCUAAUUUCGGUGAACUGAGACAAAGUAUGAGCCGGGGAGGGAGACGGGGGGCGUGGCCAACAGCAGAUAAAGGUUCAUGGGGGGCUGGAUCCCAGCUGACACUGAGCGAGAGGUGGGUACACCCUGGACCGGUCGCCAGUUCAACAAAGCCGGAGAGAACCCGCACAGACACAACACCACAGAAACCCAGGGACUCACCCCCAUUCGUCACUUCCUGAGAGGCGAUGACGAAUCCAAAGCCUUCUCCUGGACGCCUCCUCAGCUCCACCUCCACGGUUUUUACUCCUCCUCUUCGGUCCUUCGCCACGGCUCCCA